rnacentral:rRNA from 1 species
CAUAGCCUUUAGCCUAAUUAGUAUUAAAGGUGAUGCCUGCCCAGUGAUAUUUUUUAAACGGCCGCGGGAUCCUACACCGUGCAAAGGUAGCAUAAUCACUUGUCAUCUAAAUAAUGACUAGUAUGAAUGGCCAAAUGAAGACUUUCCUGUYUYUUGUAAUCAAUCAAUGAAACUGAUCUUUCAGUUCAAAAGCUGAAAUAAUAACACAAGACGAAAAGACCCUGUGGAACUUUUUAAGUGAAAACCAACAACUAUGGCACAACCACUUUUAGUUGGGGCAACUUUGGAACAAAACAAAACUUCCAAUUCAGGUUCAACGAAANUUUUAGGUCUACACACCUUAAACCCACACCACUAUCGACCCAGUACUACUGAUAAAAGAAACAAGCUACCCCAGGGAUAACAGCGCCAUCCCCUCCUAGAGUCCCAAUCGACGAGCGGGGCUUACGACCUCGAUGUUGGAUCAGGGCCCCCAAACAKUGCAGCAGCUGUUAAUGGUUUYUYUUU